ACUGUGGAAUGCAGCGUGGCAGUAACUGAAAAGGUGACGCAAGGGCUGGGACCACGUGACCCAGCAACCCCACGGCCGGUGUCCACCCAAGAACAAAACACACGUCGGCACAGAAUCCUGUAGUGAACGUUCACAGCAGCAUCGUUCGUAACACCCCCAAAGGGGAAACAACCAAAAUACCCAUCGACUGAUGAACAGUUACACACGGUGUGUUCCCCACGCGUGGGGACGCGAUCAGCCAGGAGCCGGAGCGAGGCGCCCACCCCCGCUGCCCCAAGGACGGACCCCGAACACGCGACGCUCAGGGAGGGAACCAGACACGAGAGGCCACGCGGGGUGUCACGAUCUCAGGCCUCAUGGGUUCAAGCCCCGCGUCAGGCUCUGUGCUGACGGCUCGGAGCCUGGAGCCUGCUUCGGACUCUGAGUCGCCCCUUCUCUCAGCCACUCCCCCACUUGUGCUCUCUCUCAAAAGGACGAAUGGACCUGCCAGACCACAGGGAACCGGUCUGCUUUCUCUCAAGGAUUCUAAUCUCCCUGAACGCCCCAGGCCUUUUGGAAGAAGGAACCAGGAGUCUAAGUUCAUGUCUCCCCCUCCGCCAGAGGCCCUUUUCAGUCGUGGCGCUCAGUUUCUUCAGCUACAAAAUGGGCUGACCAAGGGAGAGGGCAGGUCAGGAUGACCGCAGCGAGGGACCACUAAAGGUUAAUCUAACCGCACGGAACGAGGUACGCACACAGAACAUGCCACACUGAGCUGGGUACAAAGAGAUGGCCACGUUUUGGAGAUCUGGCCGUCUUCCGACAAAGCACAAGCUUUAAGGGUAAAAGCAGCGCCUUCGGAGACACAGAGCAGAUCGUUUCCUAACCCGUCCACGAAGGCCUGGCCCAUCGGGCCCCGGCAAGCGACAAACUAACCCAGACCAAGGCCGACACACCUUUUCUGUACAGGAUCACACGGUAAAUAUUCCCACCUACAUUCUCGAGCUCGACUCUCUAUUCUCGGGCUCGAGCCGACAGAGGCGAUCUGUCCAGGCACGCCGCACUCUGUGUGCCGAUAAAACUUUACUUGCAAAAACAGGCAGAGGGGCCAGAUCGUUCCACCGACCAGUUAGCUGACCCCACCGCCAGAUGGCUCAAGCCUACCCCUUAAGCAACAAAACCUUUUCUUCACCUCUCCUACGGGGGACCUGAGUUCCACUGCCCGCCUCCCUGAUUUCCCAAAUCACGAAAGAGCAGAAAAAGCCACACCCCGGCCCACGCUUGGCCCAAUUAGCUACACGGCCUUGGAGCCCAACACUGAACACGAGGUAGCCAUUCUCGGGGCACCAGGGAAAGCCACCGUGGGAUGGCCAGAGGCACACAGGACUGUUCGCCCCACACUGGCCAACCCCCUGCCGCCGGUCACCCCUCACAGGCCACACCCGCUCUGUAGAUGUGAGCCGGGAGGUGAUGAGGUUGUUCGAUCUCUUACGAGCCCACCAUUGGCCCACCAUCUGAGGCCACCUCUUUAAAACCCUCUGUCCCGGGUUUAUUAGGAAAGUACAGGAGGAGGCAGAAUGCCCGGAGUGAACACCCACAGCAGCUGGGCAAUGCGAUUCUUUUCAAGGGCGUGCUUUCGGGUGAACGUGCCCCUGGAUGAGCCAGGUCCUGAUCCACACGACGCAGAUGGGGCAGCUUAAGCGGGGCGAUGCCCGCGUCCCCCGAAAUGAGCCAUGGCGAGGCGCAGCACUGUCACUCGGACGCCGAAGGACGGGAGCGCAAACGGGAGCACCGGACUAGAGGAGGAGCGGCCACCAGAGCCACCCCGAGGGUUCUGGGCUCCUCUGUGCAAAGGCUCCCGGGCCCCGGACACCCCUGAACUCAGGGCCCAACAGCAGCCGCCUUCUCCCAGCAGCGUGCGUGCAGGCCUGACGGGCUGCCCCGGGGGGAGCCGCGGCCUUCAGUGCCUCGCUCUCCUGUGGCCACCUGGGCCUAGGGCCCGAGCACUUACUU